rnacentral:lncRNA from 1 species
ACAUGCUAGCACAUGUUGCAAAUCCUGGCUCCUUGUUCUGAAUCGGAUUCAAAAUUGAUUCCAGAUUGGACUAAUUAAAUCUAAAUUAAUUCAAAUCAAUUUUAGAUUUGAGUUGGUUCAACCCAUGGCUGCAUGAACUAGGGCUUGGGUGCUAUAUAAUCAGGUCCUCACAUGUCAAGAAUUUUUCUUGCAUGUGGGAUGCAUUUUUGUGUGCAAA